AUAGAUUUAAAUUUACCAUGAAAUUAUCUGAAUAUUCCAAAUUGGGUAUCAAAUAGUGGCCUCAAAUAAAAUAAAUUACUAAAAUCUAGACACUCUAGGUGAAAAUAUUAAACUAAAGGUUGUUUUUGCCGAUGGAGACCAUUAAUUUCAGAAGAUUGACAGUCAAUGCAAGCAGAUAUACAAAAUCUGAAAAAAUUACAUUACCAGAAUUUACGAUAAAAUAACGUAAAUUAAGAUCCAGAUAGAACCAAAAUGAACCAAAAUGAACUACUAAAAACUAGAUAUAGAUGCCAAAUACAGAAGAGGAAUGGAAAACCAUUGAGGCGGGCUUUAAUACAAAAUGGAAUUUUCUUUAAUACAAAGUGAAUUUUUUAAGUAUAAAAAAACAAGCAGCAUAUUGUUAGCUAUUGUUGAUCACAACUACUGUUUUUCAUACAUAAACGUUGGCGCAAGUGGCAAUGCAUCUGAUGGUGGUGUUUUUAAAAACUGUUCAAUUCACGAGCAACUAGAAAAUGGCCUGUUACCUGAAGAUGGAGUUAUUGUUGGAGAUGCAGCAUUUCCGCUUAAGACAUAUUUAUUAAAGUCAUAUCCAGGCGUUAACCUCAGUACAGAAGAAAAAAUAUUUAAUUACAGGCUAUCACGUGCCAGACGUAUAGUCGAAAACGCUUUUGGGAUUUUAGUCAGUAGGUUUCGUAUUUUUGAAAAGGCAAUACCGACUAACUUGAAUAGGGUAGAUGCAAUCAUUUUUGCAACUUGUGCACUACAUAACUGGCUAAGAAAAAAAUCAAAAUCCUAUAUCACUCCAACUUGUAUAGAUAGGGAAGAUCAAGAUGGAAAUAUUAUACCAGGCUUAUGGAGGCAUGAAAUAACUCCCUUAAAAAGUAUCUCGAAUCAAGGAAGUAAUCAUUCAGCAAAUAUUGCUAGAGAAAAAAGAGAUAAAUAUAAGAUUUUUUUUAUGAACGACGGUAGUGUUUCGUGGCAAUUUGGUCACAUAUAGUAUUAUAAAAAUAGUAAAUAAUGUUAAACUAAACUUAUAAAUAUACAUAUUAUUUUUCUUA